rnacentral:rRNA from 1 species
AUACGGAGGGUGCGAGCGUUAUUCGGAAUCACUGGGCGUAAAGGACGCGUAGGCGGGUUGGCAAGUCAGAUGUGAAAUCCUACAGCUUAACUGUAGAACUGCAUUUGAAACUGCUAACCUAGAGUAUGGGAGGGGGAGAUGGAAUUAGUGGUGUAGGGGUAAAAUCCGUAGAUAUCACUAGGAAUACCGAAAGCGAAGGCGAUCUCCUGGAACAUAACUGACGCUAAGGCGUGAAAGCGUGGGGAGCAAACAGAAUUAGAAACCCUAGUAGUCC